CUAAGGUGCUCUGUUAAUGGGGUAGGAUCCGAGACCCUGUAAAGGGUUACAUAGGCUCUCCUACUCAACUCUUAUUCCGUCACGUUCUUUCCCUGCUAACAAACACUGACUUACGCAGGGGUGAUGUACAGAUAGGU
rnacentral:ribozyme from 1 species